rnacentral:misc_RNA from 1 species
GGAGAAAAAUUAUCUUCCGAAAAAUAUCCGCCUUAGAGCAAUAUUUUACGUCAACUUACGACCAUUUGGGGGCAUCAAAGCUUUUUCUGAUAUGAUGGAGAAGGGGAAUCCAGUGAGAUGGGGCAAUAACAUUGGAUAUGUUGUUUUUCCAUUCACCAUCGGAUUUCGAGAUGACCCCUUAGAUUACGUUCGUGAAGCAAAGGUUGCCAUCGACCGAAAAAAGUCCUCUCUUGAGCCCUUUUGGGUGGCAUUCCUCA